rnacentral:rRNA from 1 species
UACGAAGGUGGCGAAUGUUGUUCGGAAUCACUGGGCGUAAAGCGCACGUAGGCGGCUUUGUAAGUUAGAGGUGAAAGCCCGGGGCUCAACUCCGGAACUGCCUUUAAGACUGCAUCGCUUGAAUCUGGGAGAGGUGAGUGGAAUUCCGAGUGUAGAGGUGAAAUUCGUAGAUAUUCGGAAGAACACCAGUGGCGAAGGCGGCUCACUGGACCAGAAUUGACGCUGAGGUGCGAAAGCGUGGGGAGCAAACAGG